CCUACGGGUGGCAGCAGUGAGGAAUAUUGGUCAAUGGGCGCUAGCCUGAACCAGCCAAGUAGCGUGAAGGAUGACUGUCCUAUGGGUUGUAAACUUCUUUUAUCUGGGAAUAAAGCGCAGCACGUAUACUCCUUUGCAUGUACCUUAUGAAUUAGGAUCGGAUAACUCCGUGCCAGCAGCCGCGGUUAUUCGGAGGGUCCGAGCGUUUUCCGGAUUUAUUGGGUUUAAAGGGAUCGUAGGGGGGUUGUUAAGUCAGUUGUGAAAGUUUGCGGCGCAACCGUAAAAUGGCAGUUGAUACUGGCAACCUUGAGUACGGUAGAGGUAGGCGGAAUUCGUGGUGUAGCGGUGAAAUGCUUAGAUAUCACGAAGAACUCCGAUUGCGAAGGCAGCCUGCUGGACUGUAACUGACGCUCAGGCACGAAAGUGUGGGGAUCGAACAGGAUUAGAUACCCGUGUAGUC
rnacentral:rRNA from 1 species